GCCUAACACAUGCAAGUCGAGCGAUUUACUUCGGUAAAGAGCGGCGGACGGGUGAGUAACGCGUGGGUAACCUGCCCUGUACACACGGAUAACAUACCGAAAGGUAUGCUAAUACGAGAUAAUAUACUUUUAUCGCAUGGUAGAAGUAUCAAAGCUCUGGCGGUACAGGAUGGACCCGCGUCUGAUUAGCUAGUUGGUAAGGUAACGGCUUACCAAGGCGACGAUCAGUAGCCGACCUGAGAGGGUGAUCGGCCACAUUGGAACUGAGACACGGUCCAAACUCCUACGGGAGGCAGCAGUGGGGAAUAUUGCACAAUGGGCGAAAGCCUGAUGCAGCAACGCCGCGUGAGCGAUGAAGGCCUUCGGGUCGUAAAGCUCUGUCCUCAAGGAAGAUAAUGACGGUACUUGAGGAGGAAGCCCCGGCUAACUACGUGCCAGCAGCCGCGGUAAUACGUAGGGGGCUAGCGUUAUCCGGAAUUACUGGGCGUAAAGGGUGCGUAGGUGGUUUCUUAAGUCAGAGGUGAAAGGCUACGGCUCAACCGUAGUAAGCCUUUGAAACUGGGAAACUUGAGUGCAGGAGAGGAGAGUGGAAUUCCUAGUGUAGCGGUGAAAUGCGUAGAUAUUAGGAGGAACACCAGUUGCGAAGGCGGCUCUCUGGACU
rnacentral:rRNA from 1 species